UACGAAGGGGGCUAGCGUUGCUCGGAAUCACUGGGCGUAAAGGGCGCGUAGGCGGCCGAUUAAGUCGGGGGUGAAAGCCUGUGGCUCAACCACAGAAUUGCCUUCGAUACUGGUUGGCUUGAGACCGGAAGAGGACAGCGGAACUGCGAGUGUAGAGGUGAAAUUCGUAGAUAUUCGCAAGAACACCAGUGGCGAAGGCGGCUGUCUGGUCCGGUUCUGACGCUGAGGCGCGAAAGCGUGGGGGAGCAAACAGG
rnacentral:rRNA from 1 species